rnacentral:rRNA from 1 species
UACGAAGGGGGCUAGCGUUGCUCGGAAUCACUGGGCGUAAAGCGCACGUAGGCGGAUCUUUAAGUCAGGGGUGAAAUCCUGGAGCUCAACUCCAGAACUGCCUUUGAUACUGGGGAUCUCGAGUCUGGAAGAGGUGAGUGGAACUCCGAGUGUAGAGGUGAAAUUCGUAGAUAUUCGGAAGAACACCAGUGGCGAAGGCGGCUCACUGGUCCGGUACUGACGCUGAGGUGCGAAAGCUAGGGGAGCAAACAGG